AUCGGCCUCUCUCCCGUCUUCCCUCGGGUUACCGCUGUUUAUACCCCUUUGCCUGCGGACUAUGUCGUCGUAUCCCCUCCUUGGAUAGAAACGUCUUGCGUACAGCGUAAACGGACAUUGCCUGUUGGCCAUCCAUCGUUUAGCAGGAGCUGUGCAAGGUUGGUUUAUGGCAAAGCCAACGCAACUAACGAGGUGGCUUCCAUUGAUUGAGCCGUUGUUACAUGGGGAUUUCUCUGACAUUUUCAAUUUCCCUGAUGGCUCUCAUCUUAAAACCCAUGCUUAAACUGUGGGGUCAGCUAAAUUGCUUCUCUGCGCAGUGGUUUCGAAAUAUUUGUCCAGAGAGACUACAUAGUACAUCGACGGAGCUUAUUAUUAUACCUUCACUAUGAUAAUGAAUGGUUUUAUUUUUUUUACACCCAAACCAAUCUUGAUGAACCGUUUUUCGG
rnacentral:sRNA from 1 species